rnacentral:tRNA from 1 species
AGUAUUAUGUCUGAUUAAAAAGUAAUAAAUUGUAAAUUUAUAAAUGAAAUAGGUUUUCUAAUACUA